UUUUUAUCUUUUUCUUGUUUGUUGUUUUUAAAUACAUAUGUGUAUUGCGCAAAUAAGCAUUUAGUUGCAAGGUGCCUGCAUAUUCUGUAGCAUGCAAAAACAGAUGUCCAAGGACACACACAGGUCUUUCCCCAAACGUUUUAGUGGAGCAAUGGCAAUUAUUUUUGCUCAUAUCCUGAGUCUUUCUUAAACUACUGGAUGUGAGCUGAAAUAUUGUAAUUGCUCCAAUAACAUCCUGCUUUUGGGAAAUGGCCUGUGUGUACCUGGACAUUUGUUUAUGUAUGUAGUCCGUGACGCACCCUCGGAUUCACUCCCUUACCUUUUUUUUUUUUUUUAUAAAUGUGUGCAGUCCCUCAUUUUGAAUAUGGCAUCUUCAGUAACAG